CUGGUAGAUUUUUUUUUCUGUAAGUGCACAGUGAGCUGGAGAUUGACCUAAUCAUGCAAUAAAUGCUCAGCAGAAAAUGCUGUAAAGCAAUUCCUUCCUCAUCAGUCCUCAGAAUCUGGUGAGGGUGAGCUAGAAGGGAAGGGCAGGAAGGUCAUGAUCCACACUGAGCUGAGCAGUGGGACUGUCUCUGCAUUUCACCUCAGGAAAAGUCUGCUUCACUUUGAGCCUAUGCCUUAGAGACAACAAGGAACUGGAAAUGGAGUUUCCUUGAUUGCUUGGGACUUUGGAGUGCAGUCUCGAGGCUUGAGAAAAAAGAACAUUUUCAUAUUUGGCUCUGCCGUCAGUCUGAUAACUCUAUUUGAAAGCCUUGACACUGCGGUUGAGAGAUCUCUGGAGUGUGUGCAACCAGUGGUCAGUGAGGACUGGAAAGUGGACCAUUGUUCAGUUCAGUCCUCAGGCUCUUUUUAGGUACACAAUUGCCUUGUAUUUAAGCUCCAAGUAUCAACCAGACUUCCAUGUGUUGUCGUUUCGAAGAUAACUCUAUUUGAAAGGCUUGACACUGCUGUUCAGAGAUCUCCAAAGUGUGUGCAACCCAGUGGUCAGUGAGGACUGGAAAGUGGGCCAUUGCACAGUUCAGCUCUCAGGCUCUUUUUAGGGCAAGGCACAGUGGCUACUCAUUCUCUGCAAAGAAGGAGGAAAAAAGGGAAGAAGGAGAAAGUCACAAAGGGAAAACUCACGCUGCCAAAAUGUCAAGUUUAGGGUAUUCCGGGACAGAAAAAGACACGUCCCAGCAAAGAAGACCUACCUAGACCUGCCCAGCUAAAGUGUCACUGAUUUUUAAAAAAUAAUUAAUUAAAAAUGAUUAAAUGAUUGUGUGUGUGUUGCAUGUGUGUGUGUGUGUGUUUAUAAAAGUGGGAUGGCAUUAUCACUUGUUCCUUGUAGCUGAGACUCUGGGGGUUGUGAGAUGGUCCAGAUUUCUG
rnacentral:lncRNA from 10 species